rnacentral:rRNA from 1 species
GUACAUGUACGGAAGUCCUUUAGAGAUAGAGGAGUGCUCGAAAGAGAGCCGUAACACAGGUGCUGCAUGGCUGUCGUCAGCUCGUGUCGUGAGAUGUUGGGUUAAGUCCCGCAACGAGCGCAACCCUUGUCAUUAGUUGCUACGAAAGGGCACUCUAAUGAGACUGCCGGUGACAAACCGGAGGAAGGUGGGGAUGACGUCAAGUCCUCAUGGCCCUUAUAGGUGGGGCUACACACGUCAUACAAUGGCUGGUACAAAGGGUUGCCAACCCGCGAGGGGGAGCCAAUCCCAUAAAGCCAGCCGUAGUCCGGAUCGCAGUCUGCAACUCGACUGCGUGAAGUCGGAAUCGCUAGUAAUCGUGGAUCAGAAUGUCACGGUGAAUACGUUCCCGGGUCUU